rnacentral:RNase_P_RNA from 18 species
AGAGUAGGCGAGGUGGUUGCGGAUUUGUCUAAGCGAUAAAUCUGAGGAAAGUCCGGGCUUCCGAAAGACCAGACUUGCUGGAUAACGCCCAGUGCGAGCGAUCGUGAGGAUAGUGCCACAGAAAAAUACCGCCGAUGGGGCCUUUCUCACAGAUAAGGGCUCACAGGUAAGGGUGCAAAGGUGUGGUAAGAGCGCACCAGCAGUAUCGUGAGGUACUGGCUCGGUAAACCCCGGUCGGAAGCAAGGUUGAAGGGACAAGGGUUGGUCUUUUUCCUGUCCCGCGUUUGAAACCGCUAGAGGCAUCUGGUAACAGUUGUCCCAGAUAGAUAACCGCCCUGCUGGUCCGCCAGUGGAACAGAACCCGGCUUAUGUCCUGCUCUUUCC